GACGAACGCUGGCGGCGUGCUUAACACAUGCAAGUCGAACGGAGAGGCCCUGCUUUUGUGGGGUGCUCGAGUGGCGAACGGGUGAGUAACACGUGAGUAACCUGCACUUGACUGUGGGAUAACUUCAGGAAACUGGGGCUAAUACCGGAUAGGAGCUCCUGCUGCAUGGUGGGGGUUGGAAAGUUUCGGCGGUUGGGGAUGGACUCGCGGCUUAUCAGCUUGUUGGUGGGGUAGUGGCUUACGAAGGCUUUGACGGGUAGCCGGGCUGAUAGGGUGACCUGACCCAUUGGGACUGGGAUGCGGCCCAGACUCCACCGGGAGGCGGCAGUGGGGAAGAGUGCACAGUGGGCGGAAGCCUGAUGCAGCAACGCCGCGUGCGGGAUGACGGCCUUCGGGUUGUAUUCCGCUUUCGCCUGUGACGAAGCGUGAGUGACGGUAAUGGGUAAAGAAGCACCGGCUAACUACGUG
rnacentral:rRNA from 1 species